rnacentral:lncRNA from 1 species
CAGCUCUUAGAUAGCUAUCCCAGCGGAGCAAAGAGAUCGAGGACUCUACUCCAGCCUGUCCAGUGUUCCAGCAUCUGCAGUAAUGCCAGUGAAAUACAGCUAAGUCACCAGAACUGCCAACAUCCUUUCUGCAAAGAGUCCUCAAACACAUCCCUUAAUCUUUUCGCAGGUGCAAAUGCAAGUUUUAAGGUGCAAAGUGGAGCUACAAACAUUGCGGACUUUGUCCAGCUGAAAUUCAGGCUUUAACGACAUCUAAAUAACUCAAGUGAUGUGAUCACAGGACGCCGCUUGCAGAGAGAGUGUUACAAAUAUCACAGAUUGGACCGGUGUGUGUGAGGUGAAGCUGCACUGUUUAGAGAAAAUGAAAUGCAGCUAAUUUUCACCAUCUCUGCUUUUGCCUAAAACAUUCUUUCCAUAUACUAAUCCAAACUUCACCUUUAUGUUUGAAGACAACUUUUACCAAAUAUAAAAGGAAAUAAAAUGCUUUUCUUUGUAGACAUGAUUGAUUCG